AGGGGGCGGUGCUAUACUGCAGUCGAACGAACUUCCGUUAAUUGAUUAUGACGUACUUGUACUGAUUGAGAUUUUAACACGAAGUGAGUGGCGAACGGGUGAGUAACACGUGGGUAACCUGCCCAGAAGUAGGGGAUAACACCUGGAAACAGAUGCUAAUACCGUAUAACAGAGAAAACCGCAUGGUUUUCUUUUAAAAGAUGGCUCUGCUAUCACUUCUGGAUGGACCCGCGGCGUAUUAGCUAGUUGGUGAGGUAAAGGCUCACCAAGGCAGUGAUACGUAGCCGACCUGAGAGGGUAAUCGGCCACAUUGGGACUGAGACACGGCCCAGACUCCUACGGGAGGCAGCAGUAGGGAAUCUUCCACAAUGGACGCAAGUCUGAUGGAGCAACGCCGCGUGAGUGAAGAAGGGUUUCGGCUCGUAAAGCUCUGUUGUUAAAGAAGAACGUGGGUAAGAGUAACUGUUUACCCAGUGACGGUAUUUAACCAGAAAGCCACGGCUAACUACGUGCCAGCAGCCGCGGUAAUACGUAGGUGGCAAGCGUUAUCCGGAUUUAUUGGGCGUAAAGCGAGCGCAGGCGGUCUUUUAAGUCUAAUGUGAAAGCCUUCGGCUCAACCGAAGAAGUGCAUUGGAAACUGGGAGACUUGAGUGCAGAAGAGGACAGUGGAACUCCAUGUGUAGCGGUGAAAUGCGUAGAUAUAUGGAAGAACACCAGUGGCGAAGGCGGCUGUCUGGUCUGCAACUGACGCUGAGGCUCGAAAGCAUGGGUAGCGAACAGGAUUAGAUACCCUGGUAGUCCAUGCCGUAAACGAUGAUUACUAAGUGUUGGAGGGUUUCCGCCCUUCAGUGCUGCAGCUAACGCAUUAAGUAAUCCGCCUGGGGAGUACGACCGCAAGGUUGAAACUCAAAAGAAUUGACGGGGGCCCGCACAAGCGGUGGAGCAUGUGGUUUAAUUCGAAGCUACGCGAAGAACCUUACCAGGUCGUGACAUCGUCUGACAGUCUAAGAGAUUAGAGGUUCCCUUCGGGGACAGAAUGACAGGUGGUGCAUGGGUUGUCGUCAGCUCGUGUUCGU
rnacentral:rRNA from 1 species